CUCUCCAUUGACCGCCCUCCCCGGGCUGAGCUGCACCAGGAGAGGUUCAGGUCGUACAUCUGGAGGAAUUCCUGCCCGGAUAUGGUGAUGAGACAUUGGAAAGGGCUGCCCAGGGGGGCGGCGGGGUUCCCGUCCCUGGAGGUGUUUAAGGACAGGCUGGCUGCGGCACUUGUGCCAUGGCGUGGCUGACAGGGCAUAGGUUGGCCUCGAUGGUGUUUUCCAGCCGCGGUGCUCUGUGGUUGCCGGGCCGAGCAGCCCCCGCUGUGGCCGGGCAGGUGAGCCCGCGGCCCGCAGGAGCUGGGUUGUCAUUGCCGCCUCAUCCCCGCUCUGCGGGCAGCAGCGGCCCGCAGUGCCCGGAGGGUGAAGGGCGGCCUGGGGCUCCGAGCCCCUGAGCUCCGCUGCCGAGGGGCCGCGCCCGGAGCCCCGGGCUGGGGGAAACAGGGAACCGGGCGGGCAGCGAGGCACCGAGCCCAGCGCCGUCCCCACACCCCGCAGACAAGGGACAGAAGCUGGAGCACGACUUGCGGUGUUUCUGUUUCCUAUACACCUUUGGGUGUUCUCGAGCAUCUCCAGCCCGCUCUGCGGUCCUAACGCGAAAUAAACUUUUGUCUCCCCGUGUCUGCGUUUUAACGUUUGGUAAAUUAAAACUGUAUUUAUGAGCUUUGGGCCUUCAGAGGUGCCUCUACUGGUCUUGGCAUUAACUAUUUUAUAGCGAUAGCAUGGCAGUACACUUAGUGUAAUUAAAUCUGGUGUGAGUAAAAAGUGAACAGAGAUCAGACGUGAGUUUGAAUUAAUACUUCAGUCUUUAAUCAUGCAGCAACAUAAUUAAGAUUAUUCGAUAAGGAGUAUUUAAGGCAAUUCAAUACGGAGUAUUUAAGGCAAUUCAAUAUGGAGUAUUUAAGGCAAUUCAAUACAGAGUAUUUAAGGCAGUUCAGUAUAAAAUAUUUUAAGUUUUUUUUAGAGUGUUAUAGUUAGUGUUCUCAUAAUUAGAAUAUUUUAAAAGUCCUGGUUUGGACCUUCACCUCUUCUUGCAAAACUUCACGUAUUUUUGAGAAAUUCUAGCCUAAGUCAGGUUAUUCCUAAGUAACUGUUUUUAUGGAGUAGUUUUCACUCCCUCACGCCCCUUAUGACCUAUAAUGCAGCCUAUAUAAUUGAUCCUUACAAGACAUUGUUAAGUUAGUCAGGAAUAACAUCUCUGUUUUCUAAGUGUGAUCAAAUAUCUCAGAGGGAGUCAGCUGUGGACAGGAUUUAACAGUCCUUGUUAUUGAUAUGGUUUCUUAAAGAAUUAUUUUUCUGAAGUGGGUUGUUUUGAGCUCUUUCAGUGUUAAAAUUCAAAGCUGGUACAGAAUGGAAUAAGAGAUUCUGAUACAUUCCUCUCUUUAGAAUGACAGUAGUCAGAACUAAUAACUGAAAUUUUCCUGAAGUUUCAGCUAUUCAUCAGUGCCAAGGAAAGGAAAAUGUUGUCUGGCAAGUUAUUGUGGUACCAGAAGUGCCCUUUGGUAAAAUAUUGCUUCACUUGUUAAUUGCCUGCAGCACUGAGGUGAGUGAAGAAAUUCUGAUACUGAUAUACCACUGUUAGUAAAAUUUGUUCUACGUGAGAAAAGCUUAAUGCUGCAAAAAUAAGAUUUGCAAAAUGAGAGCAUGCAGUUUUAAGGAAGGCAGAUCUCCAAAGGCAGAUGGAGUGCAAGGUGGGUUGGAAUCACAGAAUCCCAGAAUGGUUUAGGUUGGCAGGGACCUUAAAUUCAUCUCAUCCCAGCCCUGCCAUGGGCAGGGACACCUUCCACUGUCCCAGGUUGCUCCAAGCCCUGUCCAGCCUGGCCUGGGACACUUCCAGGGAUGCAGGGGCAGCCACAGCUUCCCUGGGCACCCUGUGCCAGGACCUCUCCAGCCUCAGAGGAGGAAAUCUGGUAUAAUGCAAAAUUACAAACUGGCAUGUAAAUUAACAAAUUGUAAACAUUUCUAGGAACCUGUUGCUGAGAAAUUCAACGCUUUUUAGCUGUGCUAAUGGUGUCCAGCUCACUGUAUUUCUAAGAAUAUUUACUUGAUUCUGUUUUAUAUUUCCUGCAUGAUUUAAUAGCAGCACCUUGGAUCUCCUCUGCAAUGUGGUGUUGUUGCUGCUUUUAAGGAUGUGAGAAAAGGCUGCCAAGUACUCUCCAAGUGCAGGCUGUCCUCCUGCCAAGACAUCAGCAAGAGGGUUUUGUGCUCAGGGCAGCUGGUGCAGAUGCAAAGCUGGCUGCCCAGCAGGAGCCCUGCUGGCACAGGGACGCUGCUCUCAUGGCCAGGGGACUGGGGGACGUGUCCCUCAUGCUCAGCACUCCCUAGAUCAUAACCAGAGAAAACCAGAGCUGAGGAGAGAGCAGCUGUUUGUCUGCCCAAAGUGACACCUUUGUGCCAAUGUUCAGAGCCACCCACAUACCCUGACACAGGUGGGACUUCCCAGUGAAUGCCCAACCAAGAAGCUUUGCUGAAAUCAUUGAAGGCUUAUGCUUGCACUGAAAAUCAAGCACAAAGGCCAAAGGAUGGAAAAGCGAGAUUGUGGCUGUAUGUUGUUAUUUGCUUCUAAAGUCUCUGGUUCUGCUAUUUGACAAAUUGCUGCCUUCUAAACAGCAGCAAGAACACAGUUUGGAGAAAUACAGCUUACACCUAUUUUCUGCAGCCUCACACAUCUGCUUCAGAUUUGCAGCAGGAGGAGAAACGGGACGUGUAAUGCUGGUUUAUGGACACAGCAGAUGUCCAUACAUCAGCACACACACACACACACACUGAAUAAAGAGGACUUAACCUUUUGGGAUUCACUGAAAUGAGGCACAGGGCUAGUGAGAAUUACAGAUCCAUCUGUAAUAAUGGUUUCCACAGCACUUGUAAAGAACCUGGAUUUGUGAAGUCCUCAUUCUGCACAGGUUCUAUAACGAGGAGGGCUUUGUUGCUGAGUGUCUCUACAGUAAGACAAGAAAAGCAGUUCAGGUCUCAUUCCUAUGCUGUUCUUUGUUCCUCAGAAGAAAUCUGUCAGAAUAUGGAUUUAGGAGUUAAUGGCCUGGAAGCAAAAUCCCACAGAACUGAGUGUCUGUGUUAAAAGCUGUCAGAAUUUACUGCUAUCUUUAAAACAAUUAGUGGAAAGGCUAGAACCUAUUUCAGGCAAAGAGGGAAAGAUGGAAUUAGCCAAUUUUUUUCCAGACAAAGAAAAUGAUGAGUAUUAAUGUGUGGUCAUUUUAGAUUUCUGGCAGGACCCCUCUCUCCACAAUAUUUGUCUUGUGUAGUUAAAAAUGGCAGCAUUAAUACAUUCUGCUUCCAUGAGCCCCUUCAUGGUAGCUGAUUAGAAAGAUCAAUAAUGUGCCUCAGGUUGUGAGUCAUUAGAAGCUUAUUUUUCAGUGUUGAUUAUUACAAUGUAUGUGAGCAAGUGUGAUCAAAGCAGAUUAUUUACAAUAUACAGCAGUGUGGUCUGUCGGAGCAGCACGUUUCCAAAGCCGUGGAAAGUGGUUUCAGAGAGAGCUGACAGAUUACUACACUGUUUAUCAUUGUUACAGCCUCAGUGGGAGUCUGGUUUAAUCUAAUUAACAUAACAGUGGGAGCACAAUGACAAUAAAAAUUAGAAGCCCUGAA